AGACGCAUUUCCCUUUCCCGUGUGUGACCAUCUCAAAAUCUGCAUUUGUGCGUGCGAAGGCGAGGAUGUUCCUGAGGUUCCCGAGGAGACACCGUACCAAGCGUCCUACUCCCGCAUGCGUCUGUCCAUCCACACCCUGUGCACCAGCAAGCCGCUGGACCUCUUCAUGGCCGUCCUGAUCGUCAUCAGUAUUUUGAUCAUGGAGCACUACCAACAACCUCUGAAUGCGCCGAGGACGACCUGUGCCUCGGAUUAAACGAGUACGUCAACUUCGUGGCCUUGUUCACCAUCUUCCUGGUUUGCGUCGUCGCACAGUUCAUGCUUGCCAACCGUCAUUGUGCAAGCUCUGGAGGACAGCAACAAGGACGAAGGAGUGUCUGGACUGUCUGCUGCUCAUCUCGUUGUCCCGGGAACUUCUGACACCUGAUCCAGAUUGAUUGAUGAUUGAUUUUACCCAUUCAUGGUCCUUUUGAAAGCCGUUAAAUUUUAUUGUAAAAGUAUAAUUUAUUGAUUCAACUAAAAUGUUUUAAUAUUUUAAGAAUUGAUAUUUAUACAUUUUUCUACGCAUGUGUAUUCCCGAUGUUCCUUUUGAAAGCAGUUUUUCUAUUCUAAAAGAACGAUUUAUUGAUUUAACUGCUAUUUU